rnacentral:rRNA from 1 species
AUUGAACGCUGGCGGCAUGCCUUACACAUGCAAGUCGAACGGCAGCACGGGUGCUUGCACCUGGUGGCGAGUGGCGAACGGGUGAGUAAUACAUCGGAACGUACCUUAUCGUGGGGGAUAACGCAGCGAAAGCUGUGCUAAUACCGCAUAAGCCCUGAGGGGGAAAGCGGGGGAUCGAAAGACCUCGCGCGAUUAGAGCGGCCGAUGCCUGAUUAGCUUGUUGGUGGGGUAAAAGCCCACCAAGGCGACGAUCAGUAGCUGGUCUGAGAGGACGAUCAGCCACACUGGGACUGAGACACGGCCCAGACUCCUACGGGAGGCAGCAGUGGGGAAUUUUGGACAAUGGGGCAACCCUGAUCCAGCAAUGCCGCGUGAGUGAAGAAGGCCUUCGGGUUGUAAAGCUCUUUUGUCAGGGAAGAAACACCGGCUCUAACACAGUCCGGGAAUGACGGUACCUGAAGGAUAAGCACCGGCUAACUACGUGCCAGCAGCCGCGGUAA